rnacentral:rRNA from 1 species
ACUAAUAGGGAACGUGAGCUGGGUUUAGACCGUCGUGAGACAGGUUAGUUUUACCCUACCAACGACAAUAAAAAAAGUCAUUGGUAAAACUUGUCGUAAUAGUAAUUGAACUUAGUACGAGAGGAACUGUUCAUUCGGACCACUGGAAUUUGCAGUUGUUUGAAAACACAGUGCUGCGAGGCUACGUCCGUUGGUUAACGGUUGAACGCCUCUAAACCGGAAACCAUGCUAGAUUCUAACGGCAAGAGUUAAAUUACAAAUAUUGAACGGAGGGUUAAGAUUAAAGUGCAACUAUAAAAGACUAAAAAUCUUUAUUAAUAGCCAAACGUGAUGACAAGUAAAAUUGGAUCAUUAACUGAUUUUAAUUGUGUCACAUUUCAAAUAGAAAAAUCUCCCACCGUUUUAAAAUCCUUUGAAGACGACUUAAAAUUCACGA